GACAGAGGCCUCAAGCGUUUAGGCGGAAUCACUGGGCUUAAAGCGUGUGUAGGCGGGUCGUUAAGUACCUUGUGAAAUCCCACGGCUCACCCGUGGAACUGCUGGGUAUACUGGCGAUCUUGGGCCAACUAGGGGCAACUGGAACAAGCGGUGGAGCGGUGAAAUGCGUAGAUAAUCGCUUGGAACGCCAAAGGGUGAAAACAGGUUGCUGGGGUUGU
rnacentral:rRNA from 1 species